rnacentral:rRNA from 1 species
UACAGGGGGUGCAAACGUUGCUCGGAAUCAUUGGGCGUAAAGCGCACGUAGGCGGUUCGUUAUGUCGGAUGUGAAAGCCCUUGGCUUAACCGAGGAAGUGCAUCCGAAACUGGCGAGCUAGAGUACUAAAGAGGAUCGCGGAAUUCCCGGUGUAGAGGUGAAAUUCGUAGAUAUCGGGAGGAACACCGGUGGCGAAGGCGGCGAUCUGGGUAGAUACUGACGCUGAGACGCGAAAGCGUGGGGAGCAAACCGG